GGGGGCUCUUGGCCGGGCCUUGCUGGCCUGUGGCAGUUUGCUGGGAGGGAGGCAAGCUGUGAACCAUGCUCAGCCCUCACCAUCACUUCCCUCCCACCUUGCUGUCAACAGAAAGACUGUGGUGGACAGUCAGUGUUUCUUUCUUAGCUGUCUACUGUACGUUGCUGAGGUUUUCUUUCUCUAGUUCCCUGCUUGUGCUCUUUUCCAACUACAGUUCCCUCGCUUGUGCGGAGUAGCUUCCGCUGUGCACUCCUGAGUGAGAGGCCCGUUGUGUAUUUAGUGUCUGGUAUCCGGAGUGUCCUUUGUUCCAGGCUACAGGUGCAAGCAGAACAGUAAUGCAGCUCUAAGAUUUAUGGCCACCCUGUGUCUUUCAAAUUUCACAGACCUGUCUGUGAGAUCCAGGGACUGGGAUUAAGGAGACUGAACCCUACCUCGAAAAAGUGAGACUGUUAGAUGAGAAAGGAGCCCUUUUGGAUUGGGCUCAAAUCUGUAUUUUGCAGAUGUGGACACAGAUGCUCUGAACAUGUGAGUGACUUUUCUUAGAGGUGCCUUGUGCAGACUGUCAUGUGUUACAACACUUACAGAUGUGACUCCACCUCCUGUGAGCCUCUGAGAAGGUGCAGAUGACUAGAACAAUGAUCAUGGUCUCAGAAUCUGGAGAGAGCUUUGAAUUCACAGGGAGCUUUGUACAGCUGCUCCUAGAGAAGCCAGAGCUCCCGGGGGAGCCUCUGCCCAGGUGGAAGAGACUUCGAGCUGUACACAUAAUCACUGCUACCAGAGCCAGACACACACAGGGGGAGACAGGAGCAGCUCCCUGCUGACAGCAAUCUCCUCGCAGGGCAAGGUGAGCAGUUCAUGCUGAGUGGGCUGGUCCUUCUCCACAUGGGCUGAGCACUGUGUGGGGAGGGACCCUGGUGUGGGCUGGGCACUGCUCCAGUGUCUUCUCCUGGCUCCUGUGUUAUGUGUCUCUGUCCCCAGCACUGGUUUUCUACAGGAACACAUUGCUCCUAGUGCACUGGAAGUCAGACCUGUAUCUUGAGGGAUCCUGGAGUGGCACAGAGGAAGAACAUGUGUCGGAGUACAUGGAGUGAUGGCUUCUUCUCCUCCUGGCCCGGCCUCAGCAAGCUCUGGAGACACAUGGAUCCGUGGUUUGUGGAGUUCCUGAAAGUCACACUCUUCCAGGGAGAUGCUUGUGCUGUCUGUGCUCUCCCUGCCUUACCUAGGUACCUGGCUCACCUGGCUGCCUCUUCCUCAGACCUAGAGAGGCAAAGACGGGGCACGCUUAUGGGAAUUAACUAUGAACAACAUUUGACCAUGGGUUUGAAUCUAGCCUCUACCUCUUACUAGACUUUGAUGCUGUAUAAGUUACUUGCUCUCUGAGCCUCGAUUUUUCUCAUCUUUGACUCUGAGCUGAUGGAUUGUUAUGAUAACAACAUAGUAAUAAAUACUGAAUGCUUACAGUGGGCCAGGAAUCAUCUCACUGAAUCUUCACAAGCAGCCACUAAUUCAGGCUCCAUUAUUGUCCUCAUUUUAUAGGCAAUUAGACUUACAGAGGUUACGUAGAAGUUAAGUUCACAUUAUUCACCUGGGUUUGUUUGACGCCUCCCCCCACCCCCCAACCGAACAGGCAUUCACCACUAUGGUAUAUGUCCUCUCUCUCCAGCCUCAUUAAAACCAAGUUUCCAAACCACGAUUAUCUCACAAAUACCUCUAGCUGGCCUUUGUAAUUUACCUUCAUGAAUUUCAGCAGAGUACUUACUCUCUGAAAGCCACCUACUGGCCAAGAGUUGUUCAGUGGGAUUUGAAGUUCUCUAGGGGCUCAGGUUCUUCUUUAUUGCUUCCUCUCUCUAACUCCCCACCCCACCCCCUUGAUAUCCUCUCUGUCCAGUUGAUUUGAGGCUAUCACUUCCUGCUCUGAAUUGCUGGAAUGAAGUUCUUGAGUUCUGGCCAAGACACAAAAGCAUCAAAAGAGCACCACAAAACAUGGUGAUAUUAUCCUUAAAGUAACUUAUUAAAUAAAAUUCAGUAUUAAAUGAUAUACUAUUUUGUACAGUUUGUUAUCUAGAUCAUACAAGUUUGUGGAAAAUUUCUAGGAGAAAAAUUUAAUUUAGCCUGAUUUUCCUGGGAGUUGGGAAAAGCUUAUACUCAAUGCCUUCAUUUUACAUUCUUGGUUUAAGAAUCAUAGUGCUAUUAUAUCCUGAGACAUACAUGAAUUUUAUAUGAUGCUGUAUCUUACUUCAUUCAUUUGUAGACUCAGUAAGUAUGGUUUAAUGUUCAUGAUAUGCCAGAUACUGUCUCAUGCACUCUAUUAUUAAUAACUUCCGUAGGGCAAACAACUAUGCACUGAAUUCAUACCACUUUGUAAUUUUGUGGUCCUACAAAGACAUGAGUACAGAAGAUUCUUAAUAAACAGAGACUGAAAAAAUGUUGUGCAUGAGAACUUUUGGAAACACACAGGAUAUGCUGAAGAUAAGGACUUUUGGUAUCACUGUUCAUUUCAACUGUUUGAAAUAUAUUCAGCCUAAAUGCGUUUUAGUCAGCAUUUCCUUGGAAUCUGAAUUUCACAUUCAAUUUAAAAUGAACUUAAUAUUAGAAACAUUUUGUCAUUUCACAUCUUCUUAUCCCCCAUGAUAAGUACACAAAGGCAGUAACUAUCUUUCUGUUUCAUUGUGCUCAGCACAAUACUUUGUUGACAUUUACUGACCCACUCCUAAGAUUGACAAUCCAUUUUUUUAUCACAUAGAACUCUUCAAUGUCAACUUCAUUGCAUUAAGAUUUUCAAAUGACAUCAAAAUUUCAGGAUGUACUAGUUGACCCCAGGAUUGAGGAUGCCCAUAUACGAGACAAAUCCUAUUGAAAGCUUUAU